rnacentral:rRNA from 1 species
GAUGAACGCUGGCGGCGUGCCUAAUACAUGCAAGUCGAGCGAAUGAAGAGGAGCUUGCUCCUCUGAUUUAGCGGCGGACGGGUGAGUAACACGUGGGUAAUCUGCCUGUAAGACGGGGAUAACUCCGGGAAACCGGGGCUAAUACCGGAUAACAAAAGAAGAAGCAUUUCUUCUUUUUGAAAGUUGGUUUCGGCUAACACUUACAGAUGAGCCCGCGGCGCAUUAGCUAGUUGGUGAGGUAACGGCUCACCAAGGCGACGAUGCGUAGCCGACCUGAGAGGGUGAUCGGCCACACUGGGACUGAGACACGGCCCAGACUCCUACGGGAGGCAGCAGUAGGGAAUCUUCGGCAAUGGGCGAAAGCCUGACCGAGCAACGCCGCGUGAGCGAUGAAGGCCUUCGGGUCGUAAAGCUCUGUUGUUAGGGAAGAACACGUACGAGAGUAACUGCUCGUACCUUGACGGUACCUAACCAGAAAGCCACGGCUAACUACGUGCCAGCCGCCGCAGUAAAAC